rnacentral:rRNA from 1 species
UACGAAGGGGGCUAGCGUUGUCCGGAAUCACUGGGCGUAAAGGGCGCGUAGGCGGCCUGCUAAGUAGAGGGUGAAAUCCUGCGGCUCAACCGCAGGGCUGCCUUCUAAACUGUCAGGCUGGAGCACGGUAGAGGCAGAUGGAAUUCCCGGUGUAGCGGUGGAAUGCGUAGAGAUCGGGAAGAACACCAGUGGCGAAGGCGGUCUGCUGGGCCGUUGCUGACGCUGAGGCGCGACAGCGUGGGGAGCAAACAGG